GUUCUGGCCAUUCUGAAAGUAAAAUAAUGCAAUUCCCAGCUCCUUCCCUUACCGUGGCUUGGGAAUAUUAGGAGGUUCUAAGUUCAGUCAUUAUAAUAUAAACCAGUCUUUUUGUGGGAAAAAAUAAUUCACGGCUGGCUGAACACUGGAGCACAGGAAAUGGCCAGAGCCCUGCCAGCUUUCAGCAACCACCACCCUGGCCAGUUGUCUGCAAUCGACAAAGCAAAACACUCCACCAGCAAAAAGAAUAUGACUCACUGAAAACUUAGAUGAUAGAAUUUUUUUUUAGCAAUAAAGCGUUUUUAAAUUAAGGAACAAGAAUUUAAGAACGGAAUCCAACCAAUGGGUAGACCAUUUCGGAGAGUGUUUUCAUGCUCAACUCUUGAUUCCCCUGUCUUUGUGAAGCUGAAAGUCACCAGACACUAUUUGAAAGCUUGUUCCACUAUUCUCGAUAUUCUUUUCUUUUCAUUAUUUCAACUAUGCUAGUCAAAUGAGUUUCCAUGGCCCUGUCCUCAAAAGUUGUACAGGGCAUGAUGGCUUGUUUUGCUUGGCAAAAUUCUCUAGAACGUGAUUCAUUGUCUGCAGGUGAUUCAUGGUUAGGAAAUUAAUUCUGAACUCUGCCAGUGAUUGCGGUUGAUUAAAGUCCAGAAGUCCCUGCCGUCUAUUCACUAGCACUCUUUGUCAACUGGAAUAUUUCUAUAAUAAAAAGGGCCGAAAGUA